UGGAGCAUGUGGUUUAAUCGACGCAACGCGAAGAACCUUACCAGGUCUUGACAUCCCGAUGCUAUUUCUAGAGAUAGAAAGUACUUCGGUACAUCGGUGACAGGUGGUGCAUGGUUGUCGUCAGCUCGUGUCGUGAGAUGUUGGGUUAAGUCCCGCAACGAGCGCAACCCCUAUUGUUAGUUGCCAUCAUUCAGUUGGGCACUCUAGCGAGACUGCCGGUAAUAAACCGGAGGAAGGUGGGGAUGACGUCAAAUCAUCAUGCCCCUUAUGACCUGGGCUACACACGUGCUACAAUGGUUGGUACAACGAGUUGCGAGUCGGUGACGGCGAGCUAAUCUCUUAAAGCCAAUCUCAGUUCGGAUUGUAGGCUGCAACUCGCCUACAUGAAGUCGGAAUCGCUAGUAAUCGCGGAUCAGCACGCCCGCGGUCGAAUACGUUCCCGGGCCUU
rnacentral:rRNA from 1 species